rnacentral:rRNA from 1 species
UACGGAGGGGGCUAGCGUUGUCCGGAUUUAUUGGGCGUAAAGAGCGCGUAGGCGGCCCGGUAAGUCCGCUGUGAAAGUCAAAGGCUCAACCUUUGAAUGUCAGCGGAUACUGCCAGGCUAGAGUCCGGAAGAGGCGAGUGGAACUCCUGGUGUAGCGGUGGAAUGCGCAGAUAUCAGGAAGAACACCGACGGCGAAGGCAGCUCGCUGGGACGGUACUGACGCUGAGGCGCGAAAGCGUGGGGAGCGAACAGG